rnacentral:rRNA from 7 species
AGGUGAACCUGCGGAUGGAUCAUUA